CUGCUGCCUCCCGUAGGAGUCUGGGCCGUGUCUCAGUCCCAAUGUGGCCGAUCAACCUCUCAGUCCGGCUACCGAUCGUCGCCUUGGUGGGCCGUUGCCCCACCAACUAGCUAAUCGGCCGCGAGCCCAUCUUCCAGCGGAUUGCUCCUUUGGCUGCAUCGGGAUGCCCCAUCGCAGCGUUAUGCGGUAUUAGCAGUCGUUUCCAACUGUUAUCCCCCUNUGAAAGGCAGGUUGCUCA
rnacentral:rRNA from 1 species